rnacentral:lncRNA from 1 species
CUCCAUUUCAUACCACAAUAAUCUCUCUCUCUAUCGGUGUCACUUAUUUUUAUCCUCUGUUUGCAUCAUUUAUUUUAUUUUGCUUUUUUUUUCUCAACUCUUUGUUGUUUAUCCAAUUUACGAAGAAAUGUAGAAAUUGGUGUUAAGGUGCAUACGUUCUCUAGAUGUUAUCAAUUAUUUUAUGAGAUUUGCUACCUUCAGUUUUUUUUUAAAAAGAAUAAUAACUUCCCA